rnacentral:lncRNA from 1 species
GAAAUUAAUCACUAAUGAUACAUGGCUCAAAUUCUCAACUCUUGAGAAUAUGCAUCAUCAUCUUAUUAAUUCCUUGGAUGAUUCAUAGACACAAUAACAAUAUGAAUAAAAAAGAUGCCUUUCAUUUAUUCAAUAAUAAUAAAGUCAAGUACAAAUUAUGUCCUAGAUUUAAUAAUGUGUCAGCCAAAAUUGGCUUCUAGGGCAUACAUCUAAGAGAGUGCAAGUAAUCCAAGAAACCCAACAAUAUCGGAUUUGAGCCUAAUGCCCGGCAGCCCAAGCCCAAGUCAAGCCAGCAUCUUCCAGGGCCUGCACAUCCUGACUUCAUCCCGAGAUACAACACAACAUCGCGAGCAUCUCCAUGUCUGCAUCCAAUGAUCCAGAUCAGCUCCCAACCAGCGUUGCAACCUUCCAUUCCCAGCCAUCCGCCCAGCCAAUCAUCAACAUUCCGAAUAAAUCCACUCCGAUCGACUCCUCCACGCCAUCAACGCAAUCAAAACAACGUCCCACGAUCAGCAGCCGUCCGUUUCAAGGAGUCGCUUUAGCCAUGAAGCCAAAGAUUCAAGCUCCUUCUUGUGAUCCCGCAACGUCCCAGCUCCUUCCCAAAUCAA